CAGGGCUGUCACAUUAUGAGGUUAUGCUAGUUACGCUGUCAGCUUGAUCCAAAAUGGAGUCAUCUGGCAAAAGGGAACCUCAGUUAUGAAAUCUCCUUCAUCAAGUUGACCCGGGACCAUGUUUGGGGGGGCAUCUUGUUGUUUAACUAUUGAUGUGAAAGCACCUAGUAGGGUAUGGGCAGUGCUACUCCUGGGAAAGUGGUCCUGAGAAGGCCUCAAGGAAUACACAGGGCUUUGAGACCAUCAACCGCUUGGCGAUGCUGACCUAAGUACAAACAGUUCUCUGGCACCACGUGGUUAUAUACAAAUGACAUCCUGGGUGGAUCCUCAGAAGAAUGCUUGUACCAUCCACCGCAGUUCAGCCUCCUUUGAUUUCGACAAAGUAGACUGUGGGCUUGCUGCAGGAUCAGCAUGCAAGAUGUGGCUUGCCAGUCUCCUCCAAAUCUUUGGGAGAGAGGACACGGUAGAUCGGAGCCUUGAGCCUUGAAAUUAUUGCAGGUGCAGCAAACGAAUGAAGUUUUGCCUAAUCUACUCAGAGGAAGCAGCGCUCAAACAAGUCCUGACUUGUAUGACAUUUAAAUACAAGAAGAGAAAUUGUACAUCCAAUUGGGGCUAAGUACAACGAGCAGGUGAGGUCUAAAUGAAACACAGAAAACAAAACAAGAUGAACAACAGCAACACAUGGUGCAGGAGAUACAGACCAGUGGUAGAUAAUUUGCUAGAACAUUGGGUUCCCAGUACCGAAGAAAACGAUGGAAUACAUAGUGUUCACGUUCAGUAAUGCUGACAUAAGGUUUGUACCUGCCUGAGAGUGCAUGCUUUCCCGAGAGGCAUUAUGCCUUCUUGUAUCUGCUCAAUUGAUUUGGCUGCCUACUUAUCAUCUGAUCACAGUUAAAGUGGGUCAGUGUGUCAGAACUUUCACCUACUUUACUGGUGGGACAGAACUUUUAGUUAGUGGCUAGUUCAUGUCAUUAACACCUGCUGUACAUCUGGGCUACCCGGGUUGCCACAGUCCUCUGUACAUGGAGGACUAGGGCUUUCCAAUUAGGACUGUUUCUACAGCCACCAACCUAGCAGCUCGGAAUUUAGGGAUGUAAGCAACACCUUUCCCCCAAGAGAUGGAAAAGGGCCCCAGAUCACUCUCAAUUGAGGUAACAGCCCUGAGGCUACUCUGCGUGUUAAUGAAGUGAAGCUGGCUAGAGGCAGUCACUUCUACAAUUUGUCGCUCAUUCUUCUUUCGGAGUAAGAAGCCAAGAGCACAAUGGGCAAUGCUCAGCACAAAAUCUUGGUGUAUUAAAGUAUUCAAGCUCCAAGCAUUUCCUGUAAAGGCGGUGGGGAAAAGUAGGGCCUCACUCUACCCUUAUCUUUAAAAGUUAAUCUGCUCAUCUAAAGAGACUGCAUUGUCGCAGAUGCUACAUAUUAGGUAUGAAGAGAAUGGUAUGUCAGUAUUUUAAUUCUGACUGUCUCUCUUAGUAUGUGUUUGCCAUAUGCUUGCUUAGGUGCCUGUGGAAACUAGACUAGGGCGUAAGAUGCCCUGGACGUAGAAUUGCCAGUGCUUGUCAGUUGCCCUGCCCUGGGUGCUGGGAAAAAGCCUUGGGUCCUCUGGAAGAACAGUGAGAGCACUUAAUUAGCUAAUAUUAAUUAGCUACCUUAAUUGCAGUAGUAUUAGAAAUGCCAGGACCAGUUCCUGCACUUUACUGCUUCACGUUGGCCCCUGGUAUUCUCGAACCCAGGGAGGUCCCUCCCUGGCGUUAGUUCUGACACUGUAGGCCAUAUAGAACUAACAUUUAUCCCAGCUGCAGCUGGUUCCAGUGUGGCACCCUGCCAUGUUAGCCUAGCUCUCUUCUAGCCCCAGAGGUCUCUCCACUCCCAUUGCUAGUCGCCUUGGCCAGUCCUAGCCAACCGGGAACUCUGGUCCCAGUUACCCAGUAAUAUCAAGGCUCAACAAACUGUAACCCAUCAAUCAGAUUUACAUGUUAAAUUCUCAAUCCACAUAUAAACUUACAACCAAUUGAUAAGGAUAUAAGCUGCCCACCUAUAUAAGAUAUAAUUUGCUCAUCUAGACACACAAAAUCCUGUACACAUCCAUCCCUUAAGAAUAGUCAUAACAACCUGUAAAUGUGCAGAGAGAAAUCUUAACAUCUGCCUCCAUGUUCUCUCGGCUGCCCCCUUCUCACUCUGGUCUCCUCUGCCUCUUUAAAGCUUUUCUCCUGGGGUUGGGGAUUUAGCUCAGUGAGGGCAAGGCCCUGGGUUCAGUCCUCAGCUCCGAGAAAAAAAAAACACAAACUUUUCUCCUGCCCAUCCUUCCUUCUUAUCCAAUGACAGGUCUCAUUCUACCCUGUACCUGCCUUCACCUGCAUAACGACAUCAACCUACAACUAGUUGACUAGCCUUCUCUUCAGUCCUUUAAUUUGUACUCUCUGAUUAUUGGUGAGUUACUUAGCUCUCUCUGUCUGCCUCUUUCUCUAUCUCUCUGUGUC